GACGGAGGAUGCAAGUGUUAUCCGGAAUCACUGGGCGUAAAGCGUCUGUAGGUGGUUUAAAAAGUCUACUGUUAAAGCUUGAAGCUUAACUUCAAAAAUGCCGUAGAAACUUUUAAACUUGAGUAUGGUAGGGGUAGAGGGAAUUUCCAGUGGAGCGGUGAAAUGCGUAGAUCUUGGAAAGACCACCAAUGGCGAAGGCACUCUACUGGGCCAUGACUGACACUAAGAGACGAAAGCUAGGGGAGCGAAUGGG
rnacentral:rRNA from 1 species